CAGAACCUUCACAGUUGUGUCCAGGUGAUAAAUGAUUUUGUGUCUCCAGAGCAUGUGUUCCACUCCUUCCACCUGACACAGGAGCUGAGAUCCUCCAGAGAAGAGCCCAACUAUGAAGAUAAACUCCAGGUAAAGAACAUCUUGUUCCACUCUGUGAAGGAUGCAUUGACGUCGCUGAGGAGGUACAACCAGGAGGAGGAAGAGAACUCCUGACCCGUAGUCCCCCUGGAGCCUCCCUCUCUGGCGCCUCCAUCUCUGGAGCCUCCCUCUCUGGCGCCCCCCUCUCUGGCGCCUCCAUCUCUGGAGCCUCCCUCUCUGGCGCCUCCCUCUCUGGCGCCUCCCUCUCUGGCGCCUCCCUCUCUGAGACGUCUUCCUUCAGCCUAGAACAGAUAUAUACACACUGAAACUAACCACAACAGCACCGUCAACCUAGUGUCCAGCAGAAUACACUACAACACACUAAAACUACAUGUUACUGACCAGCAUCACUACCACAGCAUCGGGAUACUGUCCAUAGCAUCAGGAUACUGUCCAAAGCAGCAUCACUACCACAGCAUCAGGAUACUGUCCAUAGCAUCAGGAUACUGUCCAAAGCAGCAUCACUACCACAGCAUCGGGAUACUGUCCACAGCAUCAGGAUACUGUCCAAAGCAGCAUCACUACCACAGCAUCGGGAUACUGUCCACAGCAUCAGGAUACUGUCCAUAGCAGCAUCACUACCACAGCAUCAGGAUACUGUCCAUAGCAGCAUCACUACCACAGCAUCGGGAUACUGUCCACAGCAUCAGGAUACUGUCCAUAGCAGCAUCACUACCACAGCAUCGGGAUACUGUCCAUAGCAGCAUCACUACCACAGCAUCGGGAUACUGUCCACAGCAUCAGGAUACUGUCCAUAGCAGCAUCACUACCACAGCAUCAGGAUACUGUCCACAGCAGCAUCACUACCACAGCAUCAGGAUACUGACCACAGCUGCAUCACUACCACAGCAUCAGGAUACUGUCCAUAGCAGCAUCACUACCACAGCAUCAGGAUACUGACCACAGCAGCAUCACUACCACAGCAUCAGGAUACUGUCCAAAGCAGCAUCACUACCACAGCAUCAGGAUACUGACCACAGCAGCAUCACUACCACAGCAUCAGGAUACUGACCACAGCAUCAGGAUACUGACCACAGCAUCAGGAUACUGACCACAGCUGCAUCACUACCACAGCAUCAGGAUACUGACCACAGCAUCAGGAUACUGACCACAGCAUCAGGAUACUGACCACAGCUGCAUCACUACCACAGCAUCAGGAUACUGUCCACAGCAGCAUCACUACCACAGCAUCAGGAUACUGACCACAGCAGCAUCACUACCACAGCAUCAGGAUACUGACCACAGCAGCAUCACUACCACAGCAUCAGGAGAACUGUGAUUCUAUUGAACUAUCUGGUCUUACAGUGCUGACUGCUGUUCUGGAACUUUCUGUUCUGUGUUCUGGAACCUUCUGUUCUCUGUUCUGGAACCUUCUGUCCUGUGUUCUGGAACCUUCUCUGUUCUGGAACCUUCUGUUCUCUGGUCUGGAACCUUCUGUUCGCUGUUCUGGAACCUUCUGUCCUGUGUUCUGGAACCUUCUGUUCUCUGGUCUGGAACCUUCUGUUCUCUGGUCUGGAACCUUCUGUUCUCUCUUCUGGAACCUUCUGUUCGCUGUUCUGGAACCUUCUGUCCUGUGUUCUGGAACCUUCUGUCCUGUGUUCUGGAACCUUCUGUUCUCUGUUCUGGAACCUUCUGUUCUCUGUUCCUUUUGUUUGUUUAGUUCGUUAUUGUCUUUCAAACUGUAUAUUGUUUCUGUGAAGAUGCUGUAUUUAUUUAAUAGGAGUUGUAAAUGCGACGCUAGAUGAAAUGUAAAUGUGUCUUGUACAGUUUGUGAUGAGUUUUGAGACGGAUGCCGUUGAGACAGUUACUGUGAGAGGAAACAGACUUCAGCUGUCGCCCAGAACUCUGGGAGUCGCUGCUGAAUUCGUCCUCAUGCCAUAUCUUUUUAAAAUGAACUGCCAAACUAUUGUGUUGUAUAAAACCGUGUAAAGUUGUAUUAUGUAAAAAAAAAAAAGACUAAAUGAAUAAUACACUUCAGCAUAUUAGAAGUAUUCACUGUAAAAUGGAGACAUUUACACACAAAAAAUAAUUUAUUCAAAUUUUGAAGUGUAAAUAUAUACAUAUAUACAUUCACUGAUGUAUUUUUUAAAAACAUGGCUUGCUUCAAUUUGUAAUUUUAAAAGUGUUACAUGCUUUGUACAUUGAAGUUCAAAAGGGUUUUACAUUUUCCAUUAAAAUGGAUUCAUCAAA